UUGACAGCCCUGGAGACUGAAGGCUUCUUUUUAUGCACAGAGCACCAACACCAUCUGCAGCAGAAGUCCAAACUUGUACUUGAAACAGCCCUGCCAAUAUAUUUCCCCUCUAACCCGAGAGCCACACCUUAAGGUACGAGUGGGGAAAUCAGUCCCUAUUACCAAGGUAAACCAUGGCCUUG
rnacentral:sRNA from 1 species